AACAAAAAACAAAAAAAAAAAACCACUUGUUCUUCACUGUCUGGCAUAACCUACCUUUGUGGCCUGCUCAGGAAAACUCUGGCUUGUGAACAGAGGGAUACAACCUGCUGAGGAAUGGCUUGUGAGUAAGUAGCUAGAGUGCAGUGUUUUGGUUUCAGCAGUGAGGAAUUUCUAUCAAGCUGGAAGUCAAUUUCUUAGUGGAGGUAUGUAAUCAUAGCAGUAUUUAGUCACUAGAAGGUUUUAUUUGUUCUGCAGAAGCCCCAUGCUGGGCCCCAGCAACCUGAACAGGCAGCUGCUCAUGUCAGCAGCAGAAUGAACCCGCCAUUGAAAAUACAUUUUGCUUUCAAAAAUCAACUCAAAUAUUCAGCCUGGUCUAGUAUUAGAUAUGGAGGUUGGUGGCCCUGCAUGCAGCAGGGGGUUAGAGCUUGAUGAUCCUUGAGGUUCCUUCCAACCCAAACCAUUCCAUAGUUCUAUGGUUAACAAUGCAAAUCCUUCCUUUCUCUUCCCAGAUGCUCUAAGAAAAGAGUACUGAAUCUUUAAAAGAUGCAAUCUCUCCUUAGUAAGGCUUAGAAACUUAGUCUUCCAAACGUAAUAAUCACCAGGCUGCCCCUCUCCUACAGUAUUGGAACCAAUCAGGUAGCAAAAGGCUGUAUUGAAUAGUUAUACGUGAUAUUGCCAAGUAGUAGAAGCUUUUACAAUAAUCAAUGAAAUGAUGUAGUACCUUAAAGCACUUAAAUUGCAAUCUCUUUUAUUUAUUGAGUACAUAGGCAAUACUCCACUAUAUUUACAUAUAAGACCUUUGUAAAAUCGCUAUAGUACUUGUCAAAUGUUUAGCCCUGGCAUUAAUCCAUUUUGUUGGAGUCUUUCAGGAAAUGCUGAUUGGCACCUGCCAUGAGUAAGUGUUGUGAAACACCCUCCUUGACCCCAACAUUUGUGGAACACCCUCAUGCUUCAGGGUCUAGUGAACAAAUGAGUUUUUAAGACUCCAAGUCCUUUUCCCCUUCUAGUGAUAUUAGUCUUAAUUACAAAGGGAAAGUUCCACUUGAAGGUGGGGCAGUUUGCCCUUUCAAAGAUGUAGUUUUAUUUUCCAGUUCUCUAAUACAAGCUUUUAAAAGCUCAUUUUCAUCCUUUAACUCUUCCUCUGAGGAUGAAUGUGUGUUAAUGGUGAGUAGUAACAGCAUCUGCUGUGGCAUGGCUGCUGCUACUCCUUCCUCAGUUGUCAAAAAGUUUUGUCCUAAUUUAUUCAAGAAGUUGGCCAUUUUUGAAGGGGAUUUAAUAAUGGGACCACUGUCCCAUUUAGGUCUCCAUUCUUCAAUAGUCUGAGCAGUGCUUAGCCAUGGGGACCCCAGGAACCCCAGGGUUUCCCCCAGGAGUUCCUCUUUUAGUAUAUUUGGAGGGGUACAGUGACCAAUUCAUAUAUAUAUAUAUAUAUGUUUUUUUAGGUGAACCAUCAUAAAUGAGUAUCUGGCUGACUUGCCAAGUGUAACACUACAAUAUGAUGGAAAGAACCACAAUAAGAGCAGGGUGACAAAGCCUUCGGUUGCAGCAAAUGAGAACGAGCCCAAAUGCAGCAGCCACAAGACACAAAAGAAGAGAAGAAAAAGAGCAGCUUACCUUUAGAAGGCCUCCAGUAGAGAGGGGUCCCCAACAAGAUACCCUCACCUCCACUACCAACGCUUAAAUGAGGUCUAGGAAGGGGUGGAUCCUGGCUCCAGCCCUUCUGGUCACUCAGGUACAUUGCAUGCAGCUGAGCUGCCCUGGGCUGGCCCUUCCUUCCCACCAGGUGCUCAAUCACUGCUUCAAGCUGUGACUCAGCGUUUCCUCUACACUCCUCCAUUCAUUAUUUUCAAGUUUCUGUUUCAUGGAGAAUAUUGGAGGAAAAAAGGUCAUUUUUAAUUGACAAAAAAUUAUUUCUCCUGCUUCCAUUCUUAAAUCAAAGAUCUGCUGUGACAGCUAGGUUCACACGUGGCUCAGUCUGAUAUAUCUGAGAGCUGUUCCUGCCCAUCAGUAGUGGGUUUCUCCUGGGGUCCUGCUUGUGAUACAGCUGUGAUCCAACAUCAGUAAGCAUAAGGUAGUCUGUUGCUAUGUUCGGUGACUUGUUGGUCGGCGUGUCUUCAUGUUAUUGCCUCAUCCUUGAGCUGAUAAUGUGAAGACAUAUCAAGAGCCACUGGUGGUUGCAUGGUAGAACUUCCAGAUUUCUCUUCCUGCCACUGUAGCCUAGAGAUGCAGGAGCACUGUAGAAGUUGUAUUUCUACAUUGGUUACAUCACUCAAUGAAAGGAGACUUUGCAAAUAUAUCAGCACAUCUUAAGAAGGGCAGCACAGUGUGCUGGCUUCGGCUUCUCACCUUGAGUAACUUCAAACUACUGAAUUCCAGGGGGAAGUAAAGAAAGGUGCAAGUGUGUGUGAGAAAGAGCAAGAGUGAGCCUUUUAAGUAGGAGAAGAUAAUGCAGCUUUCAAAUCACUUCUCCUGCAAGUGAAAAUUACCUCGUGGUGUAGACAAAUACUGGCCCUGCCUGUUUCCCUCUAGGGACUUUAUCACUGUCCAUCAUUACAAUCUCUACAGCCCGGGUUUUGGGAAAGAUAAGAUUAUUGAAAACCCAAGGCAAAACACUCUUGAAAAAUGGCUUUUUACAAUAAACAAGAAAGGCAGCCUCAUGCAGAGGAGAGGCUGUGCACUGAGGAUGACAGCCGUUCCCAUGACAACGCCAAAAACCUUUCACCAUUGGGUAUCAACAGGAGAACAUCUCCCACGGCAAGCGCAGGAAGCCAGGAGCCUGCUUAGUCCUCGUCUCAUAAAUCAUCCUGAUGGACAGCACUGAUCAGCACUGCCAGUUGUGCACGUGCAGCUCACCUCCCAGGAACCACCUGCCUUCGGAUGAAAGGAAGACCAAAUAAACUUAAAGCUCCAGAGCUGGCUGUAUGUAAAAGGAAAAUUAAGCUCUGCUAGUGGUACAAGAUUUCCCUCUGUUCUCUAGCUGAGAAAUCACAAUUUUUAAUGAUGAAAAACCAAGCAAAAAUCCAGGACAUCUUAAAACCAUUAAAGAGGACCACUGAAGAAGCCAUGUGGUUUUGCUCAGCUGCAGAGAAAUCUCUCAUUGACUUGGGAUGGAGAGACAAGGGCAGCUUGGGAGAAUUUUGCUAUAUUUCAUGCUGAUCCUGUAGUGUUCAGGUUCUGAUUCAACCACUUUCCUUCUGUGUUUGGAACAAGACGGUAAAAAAGCAUUUUUCAGCAUGAGAUAUUCAGAAGACCUGUCAGCUCCCUGAUAUGUGGGGCCCAGCUUCUGCAGUUAUCUUAAUGUAUGAGAAGCUGCUUUCUUUUCUAAGGAAAAAACCCUUAUGCAUUUGGAAAGAAUAUAUAUAUAUAUAUAUAAUGUGCCCAGAAAGCUCUGUAGUCAGAGGUAAAAAAAAAAGAGCUACAGAACUCCUUAAUUUCCUUAAAUAUCCCUUUUGCUCUAAAGACAAAGCUGCUUUUUCUGGUCUAGAGGAAUUGAGUACAUUGUGCUUUAUUGGUAGGAGUUAGCAAUAUUCCUCCAUAAAUAGGGCUGUUCUGUUAUCUUUAGCUUUUCAAAGCACGUUUUUAUCCUUCAUUCUGAAUAUUUUGAGUAUUUAAAUACGAAGAUCGCUGACUCUUCUUUUUUGUUUAUUUAUUUUUUUUGUUUUAGAGGAAGUUUUUCUCAAGUCCUCUCCAGCCACAACAUUGGUUGCUUGGUGAUGGUGUUGAUACUGCAAGCGUAGGAGUAGAGAGUCCCCAGCUGUGGCAGGGCUGAGAUCUGCACCCUGAGCCCCAGUUAAGCUCCUGGCUCCUGCAUACCUCUGAGGCUGCAGCGUUUCUACUCCCCCCUUCAUCACUUCAGUGUCAAAGGUGGGUUCCAAACUUUGUCAUCUUUACAAAGGGCUCAGAGACCCCCAGCAAGCUGCUCUGGAUGCAGGCAACAAGGCUUGUUUCAUCCUGCCUAUGCGACGUGCCAUCUCCUCCAGUCAUCUCCACUAAUCUCAUUAAAGCUCUGUUUUUAUGAGUUGGAGAUUUGUAA